AAGAAAUCAACAAACUCAACAAGGAUAGUCUAGGAAUUCUUGCUGCUUCACCUCACCAUGGUUUGGGCAUGAUUGUAUUCUCGUUCAUUAUGCAAGCUGAGGAUGGCUUGGCUCCCUAGACUCACAGCAUCCUGGAAACGCUGCUUCUCCCAACUUAACUCAUUCAAGACUGUGGUGUGGGAGAUCAUCUUCAGCCCUUGUGUAUAUUCUUCUGCUUGGGGCAAAUGUGACUCGGGACAGCAUCCUCAAGGCUCCAUCAGUCUCCAGCUUCUUGUUUAAAACACAACCUGGUCUUGGACUAAAAAUGCAGUUUUGAUCAAGAAGAAGGAAGACUAAAGUGUGGAUACUUCAGUCCUUCUUAGAAUGGGGAACAAAAUACCCAUGGAAGGAGUUACAGAGACAAAGUUCGGAGCUAAGGCGGAAGGAAGGACAAUCCAGAGACUGCCCCACCUGGGGAUCCAUCCCAUAUACAACCACCAAGCCCAGACACUAUUGCAUAUGCCAGAAAGACUUUGCUGACAGGACCCUGAUAUAGCUCUCUCUUGUGAGGCUAUGCCAGUGCCUGGCAAAUACAGAAGUGGAUGAUCAUAGUCAUCUCUUGGAUGGAACACAGGGCCCCCAACGGAGGAGCUAGAGAAAGUACCCAAGGAGCUGAAGGGUUCUGCAACCCUAUAGGUGGAACAACAAUAUGAACUAACCAGUACACCCAGAGCUUGUGUCUCUAGCUGCACGUGUAGCAGAAGAUGGCCUAGUUGGCCAUCAAUGGGAAGAGAGGUCCCUUGGUCUUCCAAAUUUUAUAUGCCCCAGUACAGGGGAAUGCCAGGGCCAAGAAGUGGAAGUGGGUAGGUAGGGGAGCAGGGUGCGGGGAGGGUAUAGGGGACUUUUGGGAUAGCAUUUGAAAUGUAAAUGAAGAAAAUAACUAAUAAAAAAUUGGAAAAAAUGCAGUUUUGGAGGACCGAAGAGAUGACUCAGUGGUUAAGAGGACUUGCUGCUCUUUCAGAGGUCCUGAGUUCAAUUCCCAACAACCAUAUGGUCGUGCACAAACCAUUUAUACUAGGGUCUGAUGCUCUCUUUUGGCAUGCAGUUAUAUAUGCAGAUAGAGCACACAUAUACAUAAAAUAAAAGUAAAUGAAUGAAUGAAAAAAUUCUGGCAGAAAACAAAUGCAGCUGUCUUGCUUUAGCCUCCCAAUUGCUGGGAUGAUAGCCAUGGACCAUCAUGCCUGGCUAACAUCUAUCUACCUGCCUGUCUAUCUGUUCAUGCAUUUACCCAUUGAUCUGUCUGUCUGUCUGUCUGUCUGUCUGUCUGUCUGUCUGUGUAUCUUGUCUCCUUGGUAUCCCAGGCUGGCCUCAAUCAUGAUCCUUAGCCUCCCAACUGCUGGGACUGCUGAUAUGUACUACCAUGUCUGGCCUAAUUAAAGUUUGAAUAAAAGGAAGUGUUUUGACUAUUA
rnacentral:lncRNA from 1 species